GGAUUGGUGGCGUAGUGGUAGCGCAUGUCGUGGUUCAACAUUCGCAUCCACGGCAAGUCCCAGGUUCAAGUCCUGGCCAAUCUG